rnacentral:rRNA from 1 species
AAGGAAUAUUGCUCAAUGGGAGAAAUCCUGAAGCAGCAACGCCGCGCGGAGGAUGAAGGGUCUAUGACUUGUAAACUCCUGUAAAGAAGGAAAAAAUUCCCAUUUGAUGGGAGAUGAUGGUACUUCUGGAGUAAGCCCCGGCUAACUACGUGCCAGCAGCCGCGGUAAUACGUAGGGGGCAAGCGUUGUCCGGAUUUACUGGGUGUAAAGGGUGCUCAGGCGGAUUUGUAAGUCAGAGGUGAAAUCUUACAGCUUAACUGUGAAACUGCCUUUGAUACUGCAAGCCUAGAGUAUGGAAGAGAGUGAUGGAAUAUCUGGUGUAGCAGUGAAAUGCGUAGAUAGCAGAUAGAACACAAAUGGCGAAGGCAGUCACUUGGUCCAUUACUGACGCUAAAGCACGAAAGCGUGGGUAGCAAACA